rnacentral:lncRNA from 1 species
AUUCCUUGAGCUCAAUACCCAUAAACCCAAAUAAUAACCUAGACCUAACCUAUAAAAAACACUAGGACCUAAGAGCUGAAAAUACACAAAAAAAUAUAGACCCUAGAUCCUAACAUAAAAUCCCCAGCAGCGUUUUUCAUCAGAGACCCCCUACCCCCCGAGCAGUCAUCUUCUUCUUCACUCUUAAUGCACACACAGAUAAAAAAAAAAAAGAACCCUUCAGCCGCAACUCCAAAAAAACAGCCACCCUCCACUUGAACAAAAGCAACGAACACCUCACAGCACACACCACCCUUCUAACCCAAAGAACCAGUUACCCACAAUCAUGUAAUAACCACCAGAAGUAGAGCAUUUUUCUCAUUUCCAAAAAAAAAACAAAUUUCCAUCUUUAUGUAUUAACUCAAACUUAAUCUUAAGGACAUACAUUAUUCACGAUAAAAGUGAGGCGAAUUUCCAGUAAAGGAAAAGAGGUGAAUGAACAGUAACGAAAAAUACAGUGGUUACUGGCUGCUCUUUAGACUGCUCCGGUUCUAAUUCGAGGUCAUGUUCGUGUUUUGGAUCCGGAUUUGUUUGGUGGUUUUGGUCUUUGCUAACUGAACCAUCAUCAUCAUUGUACAGUCCUUUCUCAGAGUUUUAGUUAAUCCAGUUGUGAAGAACUUUGGCUACAUAAAGGUUCUAUCUAUCUCUUGACUUUAAUAUUCAGACUAUUUCAAAUUGUUUAAUGUUAAAAAUUGUUCUUAAUUUUUUUUUUGUAUUGAGAUUGGCGAAUUUUUCAGACUUGGUAAAAUCUUGGUCACUUUUGGUUUUUUUGCGAAUUUGUGAAGAGCUUGCUAAUGUUAAUAUGCAGAUAAAAUAGAGGAUUGCUGACUUGUAAAGCAAAAGAAGUUAUAAGAUAUAAGAUAGAAGGAUAUUUUCUAUAAGAUAGAAGGAUAUUUUCAUUAACCUUUUUUUAUUCCUUUUUUAUGGCCAAUUGAUGCUUUAUGUACUGCUACCAUUUUUAGUCCUACCAUUGAUUUUAGAAAGCAAUUAAUAUGAUGUUAAUUAAUCUUCUGGAGUGCCUUGGUUUAAAAUAGGUCAUUGUGGCUAAAUGGAUGGAAGCUUCAAACUAUCUGAGCUAAAAACGAGUCUAUGAAAUGCGUGUGUUCAGUUUUUUUCUGGUUUGGUCUUGUAAUGUGCAAACGACAAUUACAUUGUAUAAAUGGCUAUUUUAUGAUUUCAAAUAGCUGCAUGACUCGUGAACAUUGUAGCUUGCUUUAGGCGCGAUUAAUAAAUAAAUUAUCACGACUACGGGUACGGUUCCCGUGACGUAGUUGCAAUAUACAAUUUUCAAAUCCGGGUGUACAUUUCAUGUGACCCGAUUCUAAUCUCCAAUAAGGUUAAAUAGAACAUGUCGUGAAUCACGGGUGAAUUUAAUGUAGUGUGGCUUGCGAUGUGUUUUAAAUAACCUUGAAAUAAUUCCUUAAAUAAAUAAAAGCGGUUUUAAAGUUAAAAACGCACAUAGGUUUAAAAGUGUUUUAAAAUCAGAUAAUUAAGCCAAUAAUAAUAGUUGAGCGACCGUGCUAGAACCACAGAAUCCGGGAAUGUCUAACACCUUCUCCCUGGUUAACAGAAUUCCUUAUCCGAAUUUCUAUGUUCGCGGACUAUAAAACAGAGUCAAACUUUCCUCGAUUCGAGAUUUUAAACAGGUGACUUGGGACACCAUAAAUUAUCCCAAGUAGCGACUCUGAAUCUUAAACAACAAUCACGUUUUGAUUGUUACUUAAAUUGAAAAAAACUCUCUUAUACCCUUCCGGGGUAGUAGAAAAAGGAGGUGUGACAACUCUGGAGACUAUGCUGGAGACAAGAACCCAGAACCUCUGGUUCAGGGUUCAGAAUUAGAGCUUAGAAUAUCUGUUAUAAUUGACUUUAUUUAUUAUCUGAUUCUUAUAUGUUUGAGCCUAAUGUGCUAAUUGCCGCUUUUUACCGCUUUGAUAUUGUUUGGACUGUAUAUAAAUUGUUACGAAACCCUCCUCUCUCUGAGUCUUCUAAAUCAUCUAGGAAGUAUGCACUUCAUGUGACUUAUUUUCUGUUAGAGUCAUAUCCCAAUUUAGAACGAGUUUCGAACAAGUUGCAAGGCUGGUGAAGCUUCUGUAUUCCCGGUAUGCUGCCCCCCCCAGCUCGAGCUAUCCGCUCGGGUAAGCCAGGUCUAGAACAAAUAAACCCAGGUUUUUAAACAUAGUAUAACAUAGCCUCAUGACGGAUCUCUAGUAGGAACGCUUGUUUGCAUCACAUGAAUUUGACUUUGAGGACUCAACACAGGGGUUGGGUCCGUCUAGGACAGGCGUACCCAAAAUAAUAGACCAUCUUGAUGCAUUCUAUGUGCUACAUGUUGCAUUUCUUCAAGGGUAAAAUGGUCAUUUGGCGGAACAAUGAUAGUUGAGGGCAAAUGAAAAAAGGAAAAAAAUGAGAAAGAAAAGAAGGUGAAUUGUGAAAAUAAAGCAAGUAGGGCCCAGUUAUAUUUUUCUUUCACAUUUUUUUAAAGAAAAAAGACAAAUAAGAAAGCAUGAAAAAUCCAAAAAGAUUUUACACUUUCCCAUCAUUUUUCCAAAAAAAAAAAUCAAAAAAAGAAAAUUCAAAAAGAGUUUAUAUGUUUCAUCAUUUUUUCAAAACAAAAGACAAAAAAUAUUUUUUUUCUGAAUUAGUUGCUAUAUUUAAUUCUCGCCCGUAUCCAAUAUGCUCGAACUACGCAUACCUGAUUCUCGUCUUUCGGGGCGGGAUACGUAGGCAACCCACAUAGGGUCCGGUCUUCCUAGUAAGUUUUAGGUUCUUGGCUUCGUGAGGGCUUAGCCAAAUCUUGCAUUUUUAGCCACUAUUAGCCACAUAGGUUAAUUUUAGAAAAAUAGUCACAAUCAUGUCUUGCAUGUGUCCAACAUGAAGGGUUAUUGUCUCACAUAUCGUUCUAGGUCUUUAACUUUAUUUGGUCUUAAUUUUCUCAUACAGGUGUGAACCUACUUACCGGAGUUUGGGCAUGACAGGCGCCCUAGCACCAUCCAGUCAGGGUCGAUCAUUCAGGAGCUUGAUUAAGGAGAUUUUUUUUACUUAUUAUGUUUUGAGUCUGUUGUUCUUUUUUUAUGUCGUCUUUUACCUUCUAGUUUUGUACAGUAAUAUCGAG